CGGACGGGUGAGUAAUGCUUGGGAAUCUGGCUUAUGGAGGGGGAUAACUACGGGAAACUGUAGCUAAUACCGCGUAAUAUCUUCGGAUUAAAGGGUGGGACUUUCGGGCCACCUGCCAUAAGAUGAGCCCAAGUGGGAUUAGGUAGUUGGUGGGGUAAAGGCCUACCAAGCCGACGAUCUCUAGCUGGUCUGAGAGGAUGACCAGCCACACUGGAACUGAGACACGGUCCAGACUCCUACGGGAGGCAGCAGUGGGGAAUAUUGCACAAUGGGGGGGACCCUGAUGCAGCCAUGCCGCGUGAAUGAAGAAGGCCUUCGGGUUGUAAAGUUCUUUCGGUGAUGAGGAAGGUGUUUGUUUUAAUAGAACAAGCAAUUGACGUUAGUCACAGAGGAAGCACCGGCUAACUCCGUGCCAGCAGCCGCGGUAAUACGGAGGGUGCGAGCGUUAAUCGGAAUGACUGGGCGUAAAGGGCACGCAGGCGGUGACUUAAGUGAGAUGUGAAAGCCCCGAGCUUAACUUGGGAAUUGCAUUUCAUACUGGGUCGCUAGAGUAUUUUAGGGAGGGGUAGAAUUCCACGUGUAGCGGUGAAAUGCGUAGAGAUGUGGAGGAAUACCGAAGGCGAAGGCAGCCCCUUGGGAAUAUACUGACGCUCAUGUGCGAAAGCGUGGGGAGCAAACAGGAUUAGAUACCCUGGUAGUCCACGCUGUAAACGCUGUCGAUUUGG
rnacentral:rRNA from 1 species